rnacentral:rRNA from 1 species
GAUGAACGCUGGCGGCGUGCCUAAUACAUGCAAGUCGAGCGAACAGACGAGGAGCUUGCUCCUCUGACGUUAGCGGCGGACGGGUGAGUAACACGUGGAUAACCUACCUAUAAGACUGGGAUAACUUCGGGAAACCGGAGCUAAUACCGGAUAAUAUAUUGAACCGCAUGGUUCAAUAGUGAAAGACGGUUUUGCUGUCACUUAUAGAUGGAUCCGCGCCGCAUUAGCUAGUUGGUACGGUAACGGCUUACCAAGGCAACGAUGCGUAGCCGACCUGAGAGGGUGAUCGGCCACACUGGAACUGAGACACGGUCCAGACUCCUACGGGAGGCAGCAGUAGGGAAUCUUCGGCAAUGGGCGAAAGCCUGACGGAGCAACGCCGCGUGAGUGAUGAAGGUCUUCGGAUCGUAAAACUCUGUUAUUAGGGAAGAACAAAUGUGUAAGUAACUAUGCACGUCUUGACGGUACCUAAUCAGAAAGCCACGGCUAACUACGUG